ACAGAACGAACGCUGGCGGCAUGCCUAACACAUGCAAGUCGAACGAGACCUUCGGGUCUAGUGGCGCACGGGUGCGUAACACGUGGGAAUUUGCCUCGGGGUAUGGAAUAACUCAGGAAACUUGAGCUAAUACCAUAUAAUGUCUUCGGACCAAAGAUUUAUCGCCCUGAGAUAAGCCCGCGUAGGAUUAGCUAGUUGGUGGGUAAAGGCUCACCAAGGCGACGAUCCUUAGCUGGUCUGAGAGGAUGAUCAGCCACACUGGGACUGAGUCACGGCCCAGACUCCUACGGGAGGCAGCAGUGGGGGAAUAUUGGACAAUGGGCGAAAGCCUGAUCCAGCAAUGCCGCGUGAGUGAUGAAGGCCUUCGGGUUGUAAAGCUCUUUUACUCGGGACGAUAAUGACGGUACCGAGAGAAUAAGCCCCGGCUAACUCCGUG
rnacentral:rRNA from 1 species